rnacentral:rRNA from 1 species
AGUGAACGCUGGCGGUAGGCCUAACACAUGCAAGUCGAACGGCAGCACAGUAAGAGCUUGCUCUUACGGGUGGCGAGUGGCGGACGGGUGAGGAAUACAUCGGAAUCUACUUUUUCGUGGGGGAUAACGUAGGGAAACUUACGCUAAUACCGUAUACGACCUACGGGUGAAAGCAGGGGAUCUUCGGACCUUGCGCGAUUGAAUGAGCCGAUGUCGGAUUAGCUAGUUGGCGGGGUAAAGGCCCACCAAGGCGACGAUCCGUAGCUGGUCUGAGAGGAUGAUCAGCCACACUGGAACUGAGACACGGUCCAGACUCCUACGGGAGGCAGCAGUGGGGAAUAUUGGACAAUGGGCGCAAGCCUGAUCCAGCCAUACCGCGUGGGUGAAGAAGGCCUUCGGGUUGUAAAGCCCUUUUGUUGGGAAAGAAAAGCAGCAGGUUAAUACCCCGCUGUUCUGACGGUACCCAAAGAAUAAGCACCGGCUAACUUCGU